CCCGAAAUGAUAAACGUAAAACAUUCCUAAUUUAUGUACAAACAAACGAUCGAAAAACGAACAUGUAUAUAACACAUUAACAAACGACAACCACUGAAAUAAAGGUUCCUCCUGACUUGGGACAGACACAUGUAUACAGAAUGUGGCGGGUUUUAACAUGUUAGCGGGAUACCAACCCUCCCUCUAACCUGGCACAGUGGCGUAAUAGAAC
rnacentral:lncRNA from 1 species